GCAAAACCAAGGUCCUGCUGCUCC
rnacentral:siRNA from 1 species